rnacentral:tRNA from 1 species
GGAGAUUUAGCUCAGUGAUAGAGCGCUUGCCUAGCAAGCGCAAGGCCCUGGGUUCGGUCCCCAGCUCCA